UACGUAGGGUGCAAGCGUUGUCCGGAAUUAUUGGGCGUAAAGAGCUCGUAGGCGGUUUGUCACGUCGGAUGUGAAAACCCGAGGCUUAACCUCGGGCCUGCAUUCGAUACGGGCUGACUAGAGUUCGGUAGGGAGACUGGAAUUCCUGGUGUAGCGGUGAAAUGCGCAGAUAUCAGGAGGAACACCGGUGGCGAAGGCGGGUCUCUGGGCCGAUACUGACGCUGAGGAGCGAAAGCGUGGGGAGCGAACAGG
rnacentral:rRNA from 1 species